GAGUUCCCGGCGGGAGCCCUGGGGGCAAAUGUGCGGUCCUGACGUCGCUUGCAGGUUGGAAGACCACAGACAUGGAAGGGGCCCAUGCCUCCCUUAGCUUAGAGGACGAAGUCUCUGGGGCUGGCAGCCCCCAACGCCCGCUAGAGGGGAAGGGCGGCGAGACCCCUGCUGCCGAGGAGCCGGGGUCCCUGAAGAACUAUGCUGUCUUCGCCACAAGGGAUGUUUCAGCAGCCCCUGAGAAGGAAGAGGAGGAAGCUGAGGGCCCGCUGAGGGCGCAGGACCUGAGGGAGUCCUACAUCCAGCUCGUCCAGGGUGUGCAGGAGUGGCAGGAUGGUUGCAUGUACCAGGGGGAGUUUGGGUUGAACAUGAAGCUUGGAUAUGGCAAAUUCUCUUGGCCCACAGGCGAGUCAUACCAUGGGCAGUUUUACCGG
rnacentral:sRNA from 1 species